rfam:Otolemur garnettii contig148092, whole genome shotgun sequence.
ACCAAGUGUGUGGUGGCAUGCACCUGUAGUCCCAGCUACUUGGGAGGCUAAGACAGGAGGAUCACUUGUGUCCAGAAGUUCUGGGCUGUAGUGUGCUAUGUCAAUCAAGUGUCCACACUAAGUUCAGCAUCAAUUUGGUGACCAGAUUGCCUAAGGAGGAGUGAACCGGCCCAGGUCGGAAACAGAGCAGAUCAGAGCUCCGUGCUGAUCAGUAGUGGGAUUGCACCUGUGAAUAGCCAAUGCACUCCAGCCUGGGCAACAUAGUGAGACCCCAUCUCUA